CAGGAAGAGCGCCGCUCGCCCUCCUUUUAACUUCCGUCCGUCCAGAAGAGGUUGGCUGUGGCUCCUCCUGGACAGACUCCGCCCUCUUCUGUGGUUCACCUGGGAUCUGUCACAUUUGCAUUCAGUUGUUUUUGACAUCGAGCAGUGACUGGAGGCACAUUUGGAGGUCGCCUGGUGGCAGGAAGGCAGCAGUGCAACUAUUGACUAAUGGGAGGGUCUCUAAGGUCCCCAAAAAUCACCUGAUGGUCGGCCAGUUUCAGACUACUACCUGCCUGGCUGAAUGCUGUGUCUGUAUUCAUGACCACGCCCACGAUUAAAAAAA